UGGUGAGUAACGCGUGAGGAACCUGCCUUUCAGAGGGGGACAACAGUUGGAAACGACUGCUAAUACCGCAUGACACAUGAAUGGGGCAUCCCAUUGAUGUCAAAGAUUUAUCGCUGAAAGAUGGCCUCGCGUCCCCAUUAGCUAGUAGGCGGGGUAACGGCCCACCUAGGCGACGAUGGGUAGCCGGACUGAGAGGUUGACCGGCCACAUUGGGACUGAGAUACGGCCCAGACUCCUACGGGAGGCAGCAUG
rnacentral:rRNA from 1 species